rnacentral:rRNA from 1 species
AGACGUCUACAUUAGAUACCGGGUAGUCCCAGCCGUAAACUAUGCGCGUUAGGUGUAGUCGGUGACCACGAGUUACCGAGGUGCCGAAGGGAAACCGUGAAACGUGCCGCCUGGGAAGUACGGUCGCAAGGCUGAAACUUAAAGGAAUUGGCGGGGAGCGACCACAACGGGUGGAGCCUGCGGUUUAAUUGGACUCAACGCCGGGAAGCUCACCGGAUAGGACAGCAGAAUGAUUGCCGGGCUGAAGACCCUGCAUGACUAGCUG